AGUGAAGAAACUCCACCUGCUGUUCAGGCGACACGUCACAAAAAACAAGUGGAUGACAAGAUCAAGGAGAAGAAGGAUGACAUUUGGAUACAUCCCCCAAGUUCCAAACUGUCCUCCCCCCAUCAGUCAGAUGUGGAGACGUCUUCACCUGCAUUGUCUAACAAAGAUGUUGCUGAAUCUGGUUGUCAAGAAGAACCUGACAUCCAAGAAUCAGAGCAAAU